UGAAUGUUUAUAGCAGCUUUCCCCCUCCAUAACUGCCAAACACUGGAAUGAACCAAGAUGUCCUUCAAAAGAGCUGCUUGAACCACCGACUCUUCUUCCCCACCCCGUAUCCCAAGAGAAACAACUCUUAGGAGGGAACAUCGACUCUCCCACGCCAGCCCAGCCUCAGUAACGCCAGGCUCAUUCCCACCCUGGGUAAAGGCUCACACAGGCAUCGGGAAAAGCAUGAAUCAAAAAUGACAGCACAUUUUUCAUGCUGAACUAUUACCUUGUCUGGUUAUUUCGCUAUUCAUACAGCCAAUAAUAAGCCA